rnacentral:rRNA from 1 species
CUACGGAGGGUGCAAGCGUUAUCCGGAUUCAUUGGGUUUAAAGGGCACGUAGGCGGAUAGAUAAGUUAGUGGUGAAAUCCCGAAGCUCAACUUCGGAACUGCCAUUAAAACUGUCUAUCUUGAAUUUGGUUGAAGUGGGCGGAAUAUGACAUGUAGCGGUGAAAUGCAUAGAUAUGUCAUGGAACACCGAUAGUGAAGACAGCUCACUAAGCCAAUAUUGACGCUGAGGUACGAAAGCAUGGGUAGCGAACAGGAUUAGAAACCCCUGUAGUCC